UACGGGGGGGGUAAGCGUUGUUCGGAAUUACUGGGCGUAAAGGGCUCGUAGGCGGCCAACUAAGUCAUACGUGAAAUCCCUCAGCUUAACUGGGGAACUGCGUGUGAUACUGGAUGGCUUGGAUUUGGGAGAGGGAUGCGGAAUUCCAGGUGUAGCGGUGAAAUGCGUAGAUAUCUGGAGGAACACCGGUGGCGAAGGCGGCGAUCCUGGACCAAUAUUGACGCUGAGGAGCGAAAGCCAGGGGAGCAAACGGG
rnacentral:rRNA from 1 species